rnacentral:rRNA from 1 species
AUACGUAGGUGGCAAGCGUUGUCCGGAUUUAUUGGGCGUAAAGCGUGCGCAGGCGGUUCGCUAAGACAGAUGUGAAAUCCCCGGGCUUAACCUGGGAACUGCAUUUGUGACUGGCGGGCUAGAGUAUGGCAGAGGGGGGUAGAAUUCCACGUGUAGCAGUGAAAUGCGUAGAGAUGUGGAGGAAUACCGAUGGCGAAGGCAGCCCCCUGGGCCAAUACUGACGCUCAUGCACGAAAGCGUGGGGAGCAAACAGGAUUAGAUACCCUGGUAGUCCACGCCCUAAACGAUGUCAACUAGUUGUUGGGUCUUCAUUGACUUAGUAACGUAGCUAACGCGUGAAGUUGACCGCCUGGGGAGUACGGUCGCAAGAUUAAA